rnacentral:lncRNA from 1 species
GUUAGAAACCCUGGACCCGGGAGGCGGCGGGAAGGGCCGAGGGGACCCGGGGCCACCCGGUGCGCAGAGGCAGAGGGGCCCCCAAAACCCGCAACGCGGGCCCCUCAGUCUGCGGGCCAAGCCCGGGGUUUCCCUCCAUUAAGAAGUCAGUUGGGCGUUUCUGCUGGCGUGGAGAGCGCUACCAGGUGCCCCCGGAUUUUGAUCGGGAGUCGCUUUUGCCUUUCCGUGGACAAGCCUUCCUCCGCCAGCAGAUGCCCCGGGCAGGAAGAGAAGCGGUGGGUGAGUGGAAAGGGCCUUGGUAUGGAAACGCAGAGACCGAAUUCCUUCUCAUCUGCCAGCUCCGUGGCCGUGGGCACAUUAUCUGUUUUCUUAGUCCGGCUCAUCGUUUCUUUCAAAAACCAUUUUGGACCCUUCUGGGAAGGCAAAGAAGAGAAGCAGAGUGGACUGUGAGCGGACAUAAACCACCCUGAUGGGUAUGAUUUCCAUUUUUGGCACGGGAGUCCGGAGAUUUUGUGACCCUCUCCAAGGACACACAGCAAUCCCUUGAGAGCCCCAAGACCAGAGUCCAGUUGCCAUGACAUUGCUGCCCUAUAACCACACUCUGGGUGAGCUUUUACUUCUGUGACAUGGAAUGUGCAUCUCCCUCUUCUAUAGCAACCCUCAUGAGAUUUCAGCUCAGAAAAUGCAAAAUGUCUGACACUGAAAAUCCAUCUUCGAAUGUCGUUAUAUCAGACCAGACACAGUAGUAUUCAGAAUCGCGUAGUAGGAUGGGGGUGUGAGAAGAGGUGUGAACUAGUCUAUAUGGAUUGCAGUCAAUUUUUUAAUUUUUUUUUUUUUGAGACAGAGUCUCGCUCUGUCACCAGGCUGGAGUGCAGUGGCGCUAUCUCGGCUCACCACAACCUCCGCCUCCCAGGUUCAAGCUAUUCUCCCGCCUCAGCCUCCUGGGUAGCUGGGACUACAGGCACGUGCCACCAUGCCCGGCUAAUUUUUGUAUUUUUAGUAGAGACGGGGUUUCAGCAUGUUGGCCAGGAUGGUCUUGAUCUCUUGACCUCAUCAUCCGUCUGCCUCGGCCUCCCAAAGUGGGAUUACAGGCGUGAGCCACCGCGCCUGGCCUUGCAGUCUAUUUUUAAGGGAAUUAUUUUGUUAUGUGCAAGUGUAUCUGAUAUUUUAAAGGUUUUACAACAAAGGUAUUACCAAGCCUGUUUAACUAUUUCUGCUGAAUGGUCAUUCUCUACCAUUUGCUACAGAUCCCUUCCGUGCCCCUCUGCUCUGCUCUGUAUUGCAGUGGGCUGAGUCUUGCGGGGGGCAGUUUCUCAGGCUCCCAGAGCAUCUGGCUUCAGGCCUCGGUUUAGCCAAUGGGAGGCAGUGGCAGGAGAAGAGAAGGCAGGAGGAAAGAAAGAGCCAUGGUAUUUCUUCUCUUUCUCUCUCUUGCUCAGGCUCAGGUGACAUCUCCAGCAGCAGAUGAGGCCUCUCUGUGGCUCCAGCUCAUGGAUAGGUAGCUGUGGUCCCAACAUCUGUAGGAUGAUCCAUGCCCCUGGGCUCUACUCAGUCCACCUCCUCUUUUUGUCCCUGCAGGUUAGGAGUUGUAGGCAGCUUCUUGCUUUUGCCAGUCUCUGUACUGCCUCUCUCUGUCCCCUGCUGGGCUUUCCAGACCUCCCUGUUAACCCCUGUUAAUCGUGUCACCAAAACCCUGCAUUACAUUCUCUCUGUUUUCAAUACUUAAAGUGGUUCCCUCCUGGCGGGGCGCAGUGGCUCCCAACUGUAAUCCCAGCAGUUUGGGAGGCCAAGGCAGGUGGAUCACUUGAGGUCAGGAGUUCGAGACCAGCCUGGCCAACAUGGUGAAACCCUGUCUCUACCAUAAGAAAAAAGAAAAAAGAAAUUAGCCCGGCAUGGUGGUGUGUGCCUGUAAUCCCAGCUACUUACGAGGUUGAGUCAGGAAGAUUGCUUGAGCCCAGGAGGCGGAGGUUGCAGUGAGCCAAGAUCAUGCCGCUGCACUUGACUCCAGCCUGGGCGACAGAGCUAGAUUGUCUCAAAAAAAAAGUGGUUCCUAUUUUCCUGGUUGAACCUUGAGUGAUACACCCAGUAUUGUACCACCCAAUUAGUAGACAUUAUUUCUUUUAGGUCAUAUUAUUCUCAGCUUAUAGAGCAAGAAGUUGAAGCUUAAAGGGUUAGAUUACUUGCCCAAGGUAAUACAGCAAGAAUCUUAUUUCAUCCAACCUAGAGUGAAUAUUUCCCCCACAUUUUAAUAUCCCUCAAAUGGUGAUGCUUUCUAUAAUCAACAUCAACGUGAAGUUUAGGACUGAAGUUUAGGACUAUCAAGAAAGUGAAAGAUGGCUUUUCUGGCAUUCAGACUGUGCUGUUACCAGCAGAAAGUAAGCUAUGUUUAGAAUGAGACAUAGAUGAAGCCACUUCAUGACCACAAAGUGACUUCGCCUUUUUUUUUUUUUUUUUUUUUGAAAUGGAGUCUCACUCUGUCACCCAACCUGGAGCGCAGUGGUGCAAUCUCGGCUCACUGCAACCUCCGCCUCCCGGGCUCAAGCAAUUCUCUGCCUCAGCCUCCCAAGCAGCUGGGAUUACAGGCGCCUGCCACCACACUUGGCUAAUUUUUGUAUUUUUAGUAGAGUCAGGGUUUCACCAUCUUGUCCAGGCUGGUCUUGAACUCUGACCUUGUGAUCCUCCUGCCUCGGCCUCUCAAAGUGCUGGGAUUACAGGCGCGAGCUACUGCUUCCGGCCUUUUUUUUUUUUUUUAAAACGGAGUUUUGUUCUUGUUGCCCAGGCUGGAAUGCAAUGGCGCAAUCUCAGCUCACUACAACCUCCGCCUCCCAGGUUCAAGAUUCUCCUGCCUCAGCCUGCCGAGUAGCUGGGAUUACAGGCAUGCGCCAUCACACCUGGCUAAUUUUGUAUUUUUAGUAGAGACGGGGUUUCUCCAUGUUGGUCAGGCUGGUCUCGAACUCCGACCUCAGGUGAUCCGCUUGUCUCGGCCUCCCAAAGUGCUGGGAUUAUAGGUGUGAGCCGCUGCUCCUGGCCGACUUUGCCUUUUUUUAAAAAAAGAAUUUUUUUUUUUUUAGAGAUGGGGUUUCACCAUGUUGUCCAGGCUGGACUCAAGCAAUCCACCUGCCUCAGCCUCCCAAAGUGCUGGAAAGUAGGUGUGCGCUACUGUGCCCGGCCUGACUUCACCUUUUUUGGAGCAAUUGCUAUUUCUCUUUAGCAAAAAUUACUGUAGUCCAGGCUGGGCGUGGUGGCUUACACCUGUAAUCUCAGCACUUUGGGAGGCCAAGGCGGGCUGAUCACUUGAACCCGGGAGGCAGAGGUUGUAGUGAGUCGAGAUUGCGCCACCGCAAUCCAGCCUGGGUGACAGAGCGAGACUCCAUCUCCAAAAAAAAAAAAAAAAAAGAUACCCAGUUUCUGAACUGCCCCUGUUUCUUGACAGCAUUCAAUCCUGAACCAGUUCCAUUUCCCUAAUUCUUCCAUAGAACUAUGGGAACGAGGCCAAAUUUAAGGAGUUUCCUGAGGGUGCCUUGAGGGUUUCCCUGGGAUGUAUUCUCCUUCACUGCAGCAAAUUAAACCUAAUUUUGGUUACAAGUGUGUUCCUGGUGGUCCUUGGUCACAGGGCUUUGACAACCCCAACCAAUUUAUUUUGCCUACAUUUUCAUGUAUAUGAAGAGUGAUAUAUCAUGAAAACCUAUGUUAAAAUAUCAACAAAUCUAGGGCCAGGUGCAGUGGCUCACACCUAUAAUCCCAGCACUUUGGGAGGUCAAGGCGGGAGGCCAGGAGUUCGCAACCAGCCUGGCUAACAUGUCCAAACCCAGUUGCUACAAAAAAUACAAAAAUUAGCUGGAUGGCUGGGCGUGGUGGCGCACGCCUGUAAUCCCAGCACUUUGGGAAGUCAAGGCGGUUGGAUCACCUGAGAUUCGGAGUUCGAGACCAGCGUGGCCAACAUGGUGAAACCCUGUCUCUACUAAAAAUGCAAAUAAUUAGUCGGGUGUGAUGGCGGGCACCUGUAAUCCCAGCUACUCAGGAGGCAGAGGCAGGAGAAUCGCCUGAACCCAGGAGGCGCAGGUUGCAGUGAGCUGAGAUUGUGCCAUUGUACUGCAGCCUGGGCAACAAGAGGGAAACUCCAUCUCAAAAAAAAAAAAAAAAAAAAAAUUGCCAGGCACAGUGGCUCAUGUCUCUAAUCCCAGCACUUUGAGAGGCCGAGGCAGGGGAAUCACCUGAGGUCAGCAGUUCGAGACCGUCCUGGCUAACAUGGUGAAACCCCAUCUCUAUUAAAAGUACAAAAAAUCAGUCGGGUCUGGUGGUGGGCCCCUGUAAUCCCAGCUACUCAGGAGGCUGAGGCAGGAGAAUCACUUGAACCCAGGAGGUGGAGCUUGCAGUGAGCUGAGAUUGGGCCAUUGCACUCCAGGCUGAGCAACAAGAGCAAAACUCUGUCUCAAAAAAAAAAAAGGCCGGGCGUGGUGGCUCAUGCUUGUAAUCCCAGCACUUUGGGAGGCCGAGGUGGGUGGAUCAUGAGAUCAGGAGAUCGAGACCAUCCUGGCUAACAUGGUGAAACCCCAUCUCUACUAAAAAUACAAAAAAUUAGCUGGGCGUGGUGUCAGGCGCCUGUAGUCCCAGCUACUUGGGAGGCUGAGGCAGGAGAAUGGCAUGAACCUGGGAGGUGGAGCUUGCAGUGAGCCGAUCUCACGCCACUGCACUCCAGCCUGGGCGACAGAGUGAGACUCCGUCUCAAAAAAAAAAAAAAAAAAAUUAGCUUGGUGUGGUGGAGUGCCCCUGUAAUCCCAGCUACCUUGAUGUCUGAGGCAUGAGAAUCGCUUGAAUCUGGGAGUUGGAGGUUGCAGUGAUCUGUGAUUGUGCUACUGCACUCCUGCCUCGGCACUCCUGCCUCGGUGACAGGGCAAGACUCUGUCUCAAAAAAAAAAAAGAAAAAAAAUCUGCAAGUCUAAAAGAGCUCUUUUUUUUGUUGUUGUUGGGACAGAGUCUCACUCUGUCUCCCAGGCUGGAGUACAGUGGCACGAUCUCGGCUCACUGCAACCUCCAUCUCCCAGGUUUCAGUGACUCUCCCAUCUCAGCCUCCUGAGUACCUGUGAUUACAGGCGUCCGCCAUCACACCCGGCUAAUUUUUUGUAUUUUUAGUAGAGAUGGGGUUUCACCAUGUUGGCCAAGCUAAUCUCGAACUCCUGAUCUCAAGUGAUCCGACUGCCUUGGUCUCCCAAAGUGCUGGGAUUACAGGCAUGAGCCACUGCACCGGCCUAAAAGAGCUCUUUUAAUUUUUUUUUUUUUUUUUUUGAGACAGAGUCUUGCUCUGUUGCCCAGGCUGGAGUGCAGUGGCGCUAUCUUGGCUCACUGCAACUUCCACCUCCCGGGUUCAAGCGAUUCUCCUGUCUCAGCCUCCUGAGUAGCUGGGAUUACAGGCAUGUGCCACCAUGCUCAGCUAAUUUUUGUAUUUUUAGUACAGACGAGGUUUCAUCAUGUUGGCCAGGCUGGUCUUGAACUCCUGACUUCAAGUGAUCUACCCACCUCGGCCUCCCACAGUGAUGGGAUUACAGGCAUGAGCCACCGAGUCUGGCCAAAAGAGCUCUUUUAAUAAACGUAAAAUAAAAUUCCAAGUGAUAAGAGAUCAUUGUCAUAGUUUGGCAGUAUUUUUUUCUUUGGGGAUACAUAAAAUAAUGGUUCAUCUUGCAAACCAUGAUGUCCUAGAUUUAAUGAAAUGUGGCUAGUUGCUAAGGCAGGACCCAACCCUAGCUCUAUCCCCUGUCCUUGCUCUUAAACACUGCAAUGCUUAGAUGAAGAAACCAAAUCAAACAACAUGAAAGUCACAGAAGCGAAUUGGUCGGCCUGCAAAGCCAGGCCUUCUGCCUUGCAUACCUGCUCUGCUGAGCAAACCUUCUCUGCGCUGAGCUCUGAGGGAAGACUCCAGACCAUCUUCAGUGGAGUUAUUAGGAAUUCCAGGAAUUCUCCUCCACCAGCUACACAGCUACAUAGAAAGUGCCAUAUACAGGAAUCAAAUUUUUGUUUGUUUGUUUGUUGUAGAGGCAGAGUCUGGCUCUGUCACCCAGCCUGGAGUACAGUGGCGAAAUCAUAGCUCACCACAGCCUCGAACUCCUGGGCUCAAGCGAUCCUCCCGCCUCAGCCUCCCAAAGUGCUGGGAUUACAAGUGUGAGUCACUGUGCCUGGCCAAGAAUUGGAAUUUAUUUAUUUAAUUUAUUGUUAUUAUUACAUAUAUAUUUUUGAGGUGGAGUCUUGCUCUGUCGCCCAGGCUAGAGUGCAGUGGCACGAUCUCUGCUCACCGCAGCCUCUGCCUCCUGGGUUCAAGCAGUUCUCCUGCCCCAACCUCCUGAGUAGCUAGGAUUACAGGUGCGCGCUACCAUGCCCAGCUAAUUGUUUGUAUUUUUUUUUUUUUUUUUUGAGACAGAGUCUUGCUCUGUAGCCCAGGCUGGAGUGCAGUGACGUGAUCUUGGCUCACAGCAAGCUCCACCUCCCGGGUUCACACCAUUCUCCUGCCUCAGCCUCCCGAGUAGCUGGGACUACAGGCGCCCGCCACCACGCCUAGCUAAUUUUUUUGUAUUUUUAGUAGAGAUGGGGUUUCACCGUGUUAGCCAGGAUGGUCUUGAUCUCCUGACCUUGUGAUCCACCCACCUCAGCCUCCCAAAGUGCUGGGAUUACAGGCGUGAGCCACUGCGCCUGGCUAAUUGUUUGUAUUUUUCGUAGAGAUGAGGUUUCACCAUAUUGGCCAGGCUGGUCUGGAACUCCUGACCUGGUGAUCCACCUGCCUCGGCCUCCCAAAGUACUGGGAUUACAAGUGUGAGCCAAUGCGCCUGGCCCCAUUUUGUAUUUUUAUAGAGUCAGGGUUUCCCUAUGUUGCCCAGGCUGGUCUCAAACUCCUGGGCUUAAACGAUCCUCCCACCUCAGCCUCACAAAGUGCUGGAAUUACAGGCAUGAGCUACUGUGCCCAGCCAGGAAUCUUAAUUGUUGAGACAGCUUCCUGUGGAGGAGAGAGGGUAGACCCUUACUAAUCUAAGUUAUGUCUGUAACUCGUCUUUUGACUUAGCGAAUUUGGCCUUGAGACAUGAGAUUCCUAGGACGGGGCAGGACAGACUGAAAACAGGAAGAGUGGAGAACCAAUGGCUUCUGUCCCAGCAAAUAGUUGCUCCAGGCCACUCCCCAUGGUGUCCCCUAGGCUGGAGGCCCAAGCUGGAGGAAGCAUUUCCUUUUGGCACAGCUUUUAUUGUUGGUAGCAUUUUAGGACACCAGUGACAAGCUGAGACAGCGAGUGGACUGCCUCAAGUGGGAAUAGCUGUGGGGAUAUUGAAAUAUGGGGGCCGGGCGUGGUGGCUCAUGCCUAUAAUCCCAGCACUUUGGGAGUCUGAGGCAGGCGGAUCACGAGGUCAGGAGUUCGAGAGCAGCCUGGCCAAUAUGGUGAAACCUCAUCUCUACUAAAAAUACAAAAAUUAGCCAGGCUGCUAAUUUUUGUAAAAAUACAAAAAUUACAGGUGGUGGCACGCACCUGUAGUUCCGGCUACUCAGGAGGCUGAGGCAGGAGAAUCACUGGAACCCGGGAGGCGGAGGUUGCAGUGAGCCGAGAUUGCACCGUUGCACUCCAGCCUGGGUGACAGAGCAAGACUCCGUCUCAAAAGAAAAAGAAAAAGAAAUAUGGGUGGGCUGCUGUAGCAAGUGGACUAGACCCAGCUCCAAGUGAGGAGAGGGCUGUCUGAAGCCUAGGUAAGGGCAGGGGGGCUUCACUCUUAACUGGCUUGGCAUUUAGUAGUGGUCUUUAGCAAAAGCCAUAAUAAAUAUAUAGCCAUGCUCUUCAGCUCAGUAAUCCUAUUGCCAGCUUAUCCUAAAGUCAUCCAAAAGAAGAAAAGUAAUGACCUAACAGCAAUGUUGGUAUCAGUUCAGCCCCUAAAACUUAGCACUCCUUGGUGAAAUUUUAUUCAGUUGUUGUGUGUGGUCAGAAGUCCAUCUCUUGGUCCCACAUCCGUUGGAACCCCACUGUUAUGAAACUUGGCACGUUGUGCUGUAAUUAUUUGUUUGCAGGACCAGUUUUUGUCCAUCUUUAUAGUUGCAGCAUCAGCCCAGAAUCUGUGGUGUUAGCACCAGCUGGGUGGCCACAUUUUAGGGUUCUUGUUGCAGAACUCUCAAUCUAAACUAGCUCAAGGUCAGGUGUGAUGGCUCACGCCUGUAAUCCCAGUAGUUUGGGAGGCUGACGUGGGUGGAUCACCUGAAGUCAGGAGUUCCAGACCAGCCUGGACAACAAGACAAAACCUCAUCUCUAUUAAAAAUAUAAAAAUUGGCUGGGCGUAGUGGCUGACACCUGUAACCCCAGCACUUUGGGACACCGAGGUGGGCAGAUCACAAGGUCAGGAGUUUGGGACCAUCCUGGCUAACACGGUGAAACCCCGUCUCUACUAAAAAUACAAAAAUUAGCUGGGUGUGGCGGCAGGCGCCUGUAGUCCCAACUACUCGGGAGGCUGAGGCAGGAGAAUCGCUUGAACCCGGGAAGUGGAGGUUGCAGUGAGCCGAGAUCGUGCCACUGCACUCCAGCCUAGGCGACUGUCUCAAGAAAUAAAUAAAUAAAUAUACUAGCUUGAACAAAAUGGGGGAUUUAUUGGCUCAUGGAACUGAAGGAAGGGCUGAAUGCCCAAUUGUGGGAAGGGCAGGGAUACAGGCCGACUUUAGGAAUAACCGGACCCAGGACAUAAAUGCUACCAGGACGUUCUUUUCACCCCCAGUCUCUGCCUCUGUUUGUGUACAUCAGCCAUACUCCCUUUCCUGCAGCCUGUCUUUUUCCACAUGGCAGGAGAUGGGCCACUAAUUCCCACAGACUAGCUUCUAGCUCUGUACAUGUCAAACCUGUUUCUCCUCCUCUGUCCACGUGUGUGUUCAAUGCUAGGCACUGUUUACAUCCUCGUAUCACCAAAUGACUUUCUGCCCUGCACGUUGGUGUAAUAAAAUGAGGUGAGUCAGAUUGGCGGGCAUAGAAUUAUUCCUGGAAGCUGUUCCUACUUUUUUGUUAAAGUAUCCUGUAUUGUCUGAUAUUUUUGCUUUUAUAAUCAGAAUUUAAAAUGCCAUUUCUAUUUUUUAAGAAAAGACCUGGCCAGGCAUGAUCCAGCACUUUGGGAAGUCAAGAUGGGCGGAUCACUUGAGGUCAGGAGUUCGAGAGCAGCCUGGCCAACAUGGUGAAACCCUGUCUCUACUAAAAAUACAAAAAUUAACCUGGUGUGGUGGUGGGUGCCUGUAAUCCCAGCUACUUGGGAGGCUGAGGCAGAAGAAUCGCUCGAACCUGGGAGGCAGAGGUUGCAGUUAGCCAAGAUUGUGCCACUGCACUCCAGCCUGGGCGACAAAGCGAGACUCCGUCUCGGAAAAAAGAAAAAAAGACCCUAUCACGCCUGUAAUCCCUGCACUUCGGGAGGCCCGAGGCGGGUGGAUCACCUGAGGUCAGGAGUUUGAGACCAGCCCAGCCAACAUGAUGAAACCCCGUCUCUACUAAAAAUACAAAGAAUUAGCUGGGCAUGGUGGCGCGUGCCUAUAAUCCCAGGUACUCAGAAGGCUGAGGCAGGAGAAUUGCUUGAACCCAGGAGGUGGAGGUUGCGGUGAGCCGAGAUCGUGCCACUGCACUCCAGCCUGGGCAACAAGAGCAAAACUCCAUCUCAAAAAUACCCCCCAAAACCAAAAAAACACAAGAUGCUAAUGCAGCAGAAUUAGACAAAAUAGAUCGAUUCUUAUCUUUUUAUGUGUGUUUAUCUCACUCUGUCACUCAGGCUGGAGUACAGUGGCACGAACAUGGCUCACUGCAGCCUCAACCUCCUGGGCUCAAGCAGUUCUCCCACCUUAGCCCCCUUAGUAGCUGGGACUACAGGCACAUCCCACCACGUCCAGCUAAUUUUUAUAUUUUUUUGGUAGAGGCAGGGUUCUGCCAUGUUCUGCCACUUGAACUGCUGAGCUCAAGUGAUCCUCCCACCUCGGCUUCCCAAAGUGCUAGGAUUACAAGCGUGAGUCACCAUGCCUGGCCUGAUGAAUCCUUCUUGACCUGCUCCCUAAAGGUCUCGUAGAGCAAGAAUGGCAAGCAUUUGUUCUGAGUUGGUUGGCUUAUUGUUUCCAGCUAUCCCACCCCCUCCUAUAAUUAGAUUAUAUGUCCAGCCCCAUUACCUUGCUUUUCAGUGCCUCAAAUGAGACAGUGAAUGUUUCCCCACCCUUGUGACUGUGGACGUGACCAUGUGACUUGCCUUGGCCAAUGGGGCGUGAACAGACAUGAAGUAAGCAGUAAUCUUAGCUGAGGCGUUGUAGUAAUUGUAUGGUGUGUGCUUGGUUUCUAUUGCGUGUGCCAUCCAUCUGAGAAGAGCAUGCCCUAGGGAUAUGCUGCUUCUUCAGCUUGGGUCCUGGAAUGAGAGACACCUGGAGUAGACUGGAACCUAACUCACAGUACAGCUGGGCCAAGUACAGUUGAGCCCAGCUAGCCUAGUGCAGCCACAGUUGACCUACAGACCUAUAAGAAAGAAAUGUUUGCUGCCGUAAAUGACUAAGUUCCAGGGUUGUUGGUUACACAACAUUGCCACAACAAAAAGCUGACUAAUACUCCAGACACUGCAUUCUCUCCCCAAAUCCCCCCCGCCCCCUUUUUUUUUUUUAAUUUUAUGGGCCUGGCAGGCCGGGUGCAGUGGCUCACACCUGGAAUCCCAGCACUUUGGGAGGCCUAGGUGGGUGGAUCACCUGAGGUCAGGAGUUUAAGACCAGCCUGGCCAACAUGGUGAAACCCUGUCUUUACUAAAAAUACAAAAAUUAGCCGGGCGUGGUGGUGAGCACCUGUAAUCCCAGCUACUCGGGUGGCUGAGGCAGAGAGAAAUGCUUAAAACCCUGAAGGCAGAGGUUGCAGUGAGCUGAGAUCACACCACUGCACUCCAGCUUGGGUGAUAGAGUGAGACUCCGUCUCAAAAAAAAAAAAAAAAAAAAAGGUAUGGGCCUGGCGUGGUGGCUCAUGCCCGUAAUCCCAGCACUUUGGGAGACCGAGGUGGGCGGAUCACCUGAGGUCAGGAGGUCGAGACCAGCGUGUUGAACAUGGUGAAACCCUGUCUUUACUAAAAGUAAAAAAAAUCAGCUGGGCAUGGUGGCGGGCACCUGUAAUCCCAGCUACUCAGGAGGCUGAGGUAGGAGAGUCACUGCUUGAACCCAGGAGGCGGAAGUUGCAGUAAGCCGAGAUCGAGACACUGCAUUCCAGCCUGAGCGACAGAGAGAGCCAUCUCAAAAAUUAAUUAAAUAAAUAGAUAAAUACAUAAAUAAAUUUUAUGGAGAUAAGAGUGGUGCCAGGGAGACCUCCCGGUUUGCCCAGCAUUGAGAGGUUUCCCAGAAUUUGAGAUUUUCAGGUUUUAUUUUUUAUUUUAUUGUAUUGUAUUUUAUUUUUUUGAGGUGGAGUCUUGCUCUGUCGCCCAGGCUGGAGUGCAGUGGCGCCAUCUCAGCUCACUGCAAGCUCCACCUCCUGGAUUCACACCAUUCUCCUGCCUCAGCCUCCCGAGUGGCUGGGAUUACAGGCGCCCGCCACCACGCCUGGCUAAUUUUUUGUAUUUUUAGUAGACAUGGGGUUUCACCGAGUUAGUCAGAAUGGUCUCGCUCUCCUGACCUCGUGAUCCGCCCGCCUCAGCCUCCCAAAGUGCUAGGAUUACAGGCGUGAGCCACCGUGCCCAGCCUGAGACUUUCAGGUUUUAAAAAACAGCUUUAUUGAGAUAGAAUUUAUAUUCCCAUAUACCUCGUUCACUUAAUGAGCAUAUCAAUGUUUUUUAGUAUAUUCACAGGGUUGUGAAAUUAUCACGGCAAUCUUAUUUUAGAAUAUUUUCCUCCCUCUUAAAACGAACCUCAUACCCAUUAGCGGUCACUCCUCACUCUUCUCCCUCGACCCCAAUCCCUAAGCAACCACUAACCUACUUUCUGUCCCUACAAAUUUGUGUAUUCUGGACCUUCUGUAUACAUGGGAUCAUAUAAUAUGUGGGCAUUUUGUGACUGGCAUUUUUAAAUUAGCAAUAUAUUUUCUAGGUCUAUCCACGUUGUAACAUGUAUCAGUUCUUCAUUUCCUUCCUUCCUUCCCAACCUCCCUCCCUCCCUCCUUCCCUCCUUCAUUUCCUUCCUUCCUUCACUCCUUCCCAACAUCCCCCCUCCUUUCUCUCUCUCUCUUUCUUUCUUUCCCUUCCUUCCUUCCCUCCUUCCUUCAUUCCUUCCUUCCCUCCUUCCCAACAUCCCUCCCUCCUUUCUUUCUCUCCCUCUCUUUCUUUUCUUUCUCUUCUCUUCUUUCUCUCUCUCUCUCUUUUUCUUUCCUGUCUUUCUUUUUUUGAUGGAGUUUCGCUCUUGUCCCCCAGGCUGGAGUGCAAUGGCGCAAUCGUGGCUCACUGCAACCUCCACAUCCCGGGUUCAAGCAAUUCUCCCGCCUCAGCCUCCCGAGUAGCUGGGAUUACAGGCCCCCACCACCACACCCAGCUAAUUUUUGUAUUUUUAGUAGAGACGGGGUUUCACCAUAUUGGCCAAGCUGGUCUCAAACUGCUGACCUCAGAUGAUCUGCUCACCUCGCCCUCCCAAAGUGUUGGGAUUACAGGCGUGAGCCACCCUGCCCGGCCCCUUUCUUUCUUUUUCUUUUUCUCCUUUUCUUUUUUCUUUCCCUUCCCUUCCUCCCUCCCUCCCUCCUUUCCUUCCUUCCUUCUUUUUCCUUUUCUUUCUCCUUCUUUUUCUGAGACAGAGACUCACUCUGUUGCUCAGCCUGGAGGUACAGUGGUGUGAUCACAGAUCACUGCAGCCUGGACUUCCUUGGCUCAGGUGAUCCUCCUACCUCAGCCUCCUGGGUAGCUAGGACUGCAAGUGCACGCCACCAUGCCCGGCUAAUUUAAAAUAAUUUUUUGUAGCAUGGGAUCUCACUGUGUUGCUCAGGCUAGUCUUGACUUCCUGUGCUCAAGUGAUCCUCCCGCCUCAGCCACCCUAAGUGUUGGGAUUAUAGGCGUGAGCCACUGUGCCUGGCUUCAUUUCUUUUUAUUUCUGGAUAAUAUUUGAUAGUAUGUAUAUAUAAUCUUUUACUUCCAUUCAUCAGUGAUGGGCAUCAGGUUGUUUCCACUUUUUGGCUGUUGUGAAUAGAGCUGCUAUGAACAUUUAUGUACAAGUUUUUGUUUGAACAUGUGUUUUUUCAGUUAUUCUGGGUAUAUGCUUGCGAGUGGGAUUGCCGAGUGAUAUGGUAAUUCUGUUUAAUUUAUUGGAGAACUGCCAAACUCUUUUCCACAGCUGCCGCAUCAUACGUUCCCACCAGUAGUGUAAGAGAAAUCCGAUUUCUCCACAUCCUUGUCAAUACUUGUUAUUGUCCAUUGUUUAUAUUACAGCCAUCCUGGUGGGGGCACAGAGAUACCUCACCGUGGUUUUGAUUUGCAUUUCCCUGUUGACUAAUGACAUCAGACACCUUUCAUGUGCUUUUUUUUUUUGGUCAUUUGUAUAUCUUUAGAGAAACGUCUGUUGAAAUCCUUUGCCCCUUUAAAAAAUUAGAUUAUUAGUCUUUAUAUUAUCAAGUUGUAAGAGUUCUUUAUAUAUUCUGGAUAUUAGACCCUUAUCAGAUAUAUGAUAUGGAAAUGUUUUCUCCCAUUCUGUGGGUUGUCUUUUCACUGUCUAUGAUUUGCAGCACAAAAGUUUCUAAUUUUGAUGUCCAAUUUCCAGUGUAUCUAGUUUUUUGUUUUUUUUUUUUUUUUUUGAGAUGGAGUUUCGCUCUUUUGCCCAGGCUGGAGUUAAGUGGUGUGAUCUUGGCUCACUGCAACUUCCACCUCCCGGGUUCAAGUGAUUCUCCUGCCUCAGCCUCCCGAGUAGCUAGGAUUACAGGCGCCUGCCACCACACCCAGCUAAUUUUUGUAUUUUUAGUAGAGACAGGGUUUCACCAUGUUGGCUGGGCUGGUCUCAAACUCCUGACCUCAGGUGAUCUUCCCGCCUUGGCCUUCCAAAAUGCUGGGAUUACAGUCGUGAGCCACCGUGCCCAGUCUGGUUUUUCUUUUGUUACUUGUUCUCUUGGUGUUGUAUCUACCAAUUCCUUUGGUAGACACUCUAAUCAGUUAUGGUAUUCUUUCUCACUGAACCCAGAUGCCACUUACCUUGAAAUUUUUCUCAGCACUGCGUGGUUAAAAGCCCCAAUUCUCUCCAGGCGCGGUGGCUCACACCUGUAAUCCCAGCACUUUGGGAGGCCGAGGUGGGUGGAUCAUGAGGUCAGGAGUUCCAGACCAGCCUGGCCAAGAUGGUGAAACCCCGUCUCUACUAAAAAUACAAAAAAUUAGUCGGGUGUGGUGGCACGCGCCUGUAAUCCCAGCUACUCCUGAGGCUGAGGCAGAGAAUUGCUUAAACCUGGAGGGGAGGAGGUUGCAGUAAGCCGAGAUUGCGCCACUGCACUCCAGCCUGGGCGACAGAGUGAGACUCCAUCUCAAAAAAAAAAAAAGCCCCAAUUCUAGGCCAGGUGUGGUAGCUUAUGCCUGUAAUCUCAGCACUUUGGGAGGCCGAGGUGGGCAGAUUGCCUGAGGUUGGGAGUUUGAGACCAGCCUGGCUAGUAUGGUGAAACCCUGUCUCUACUAAAAAUAUAAAAAUUAGCCAGGUAUGGUGGCAGGCGCCUGUAAUCCCUGCUACUCGGGAGGCUGAGGCCAGAGAAUCGCUUGAACCCAGGAGGCGGAGGUUGCAGUGAGCCAAGAUCCCGCUAUUGCACUCCAGCCUGGGCAACUGAGCAAGACUCCAUAUCAAAAACAAACAAAAAAACACCCAAACAAAUUCUAGAGAAGAACUGAGCGGGUGCAAAUCCCCACUAGUGCCAUCACUUAAUGGUGGUGGGUUUUUUUUGGUUUUGUUUCUUACCUCUGGGUCACUUUACCCAUUAAACAAAAUGUUGGGUGUAGGUGAGAGAGACUGAGAAGGGGAAUAGCGGAGGAAGGUAAUGAACAUAGCUGGUCCUACACAUCUUCUUGUGAUGGAUUGGUCUUAAUGGAGGGCCCAUGCAGGGCUGAGAGCUGGAAGAAGUGGAGCAUAUGGGAAAUCUCUUGUGCAUUACUUCAAAUCCUCUUGGCCAUACCUCUGUGUGUGUGUGUGUGUGUGUGUGUGUGUGUGUGUAUGAGAUAUGAGACAGUGCCAGGUGUGAGCCACAGCGCCCAGCCCAUGCCUCUUUUUCAAGCCACAGCUGCUACCGCCAGUUCUAUGCAGGCUCUGCUGCCUUGGCAUGGGUGCAGUGUGAUUGCACCUGGCCCACACCUGGUGCCUCUUGCUUUUUGCCCUGGAGCUUCUCUGAUACUUCAGUGUGGGACUCUUGCCUGCUCAGCGCUAGCACACGUGCAUCCUAGAAGUGGCAGAAUCGAUGCCUUGGGGCCAUCACUGACUGAUGGGGAUGGGAGCUAAUGAAUAAGUCCUUAUGGAUUUUGUCCUCCAGUUUGUUUCCCAGAAGUAUUCCAAAAGAGAGGGUGAAGGAUGCUGAACAGGAUAAACCACAGCUGUCUGCCUUUUCUACUAAUUCAGACUCUAUAGAAGGAUUCUAGGAAUUAUAUUUACAACAAAUAGAGGUCAGGGAUCCCUGAACCCAGAGCUGCAGACCAGUAUGGGUCUGUCACCUGUUAGGCACUGGGUACACAGCAGGUGAUGGGGGUGGUGAGCCAUUACCACCUAAGCUUUGCCUCCUUUCAGAUCAGCAGUAGCAGUAGAUUCUCACAGGAGCGUGAACCCUAUUGUAACUGUGCAUUUGAGGGAUCUAGGUUGCAUGUUCUUUAUGAGAAUCUAAUGCCUGAUGAUCUGAGGUGGAAGAGUUUCAUCUCAAAGCCAUCGGUCCCCCGAUCCUACGUCCCCCCAACCCUGUCUGUGGAAAAAUUGUCUUCCAUGAAGCCAGACCCUGGUGCCAAAAAGGUUGGGGACCACUGCUAUAGGUGAUUCCCAUGAAUACUAAUGCUUGGAAAACAUGGAAUUAUGGCAUUUUCAGAAGGAAUUUACAUUAUAAAAGAGACAGAAAUUACAAUUCAGGCUCACUUAGCCAUUCAUUCCCUUGUAGCAUGCAGUAAAGCAGUACAUCUCUUGAUCUUCUCAAGGAUGGCAUCUUCAUGGAUUCUUCUCCUCUUCUGGUCCUCAGGUUCACCCUGCAUGUGUCCAUGAACUUCCUUCCUAGUCUCUAAGGAAGGCGACUUCUCUCUUCCUAAGGAAGACUCCACCCCUUUCCACAGGAGGAGGUUUUGCUUCUGGGUUCCUUCCUAUAUCCUGUUGUCUAGAGCUGUAUCCUGGGCUUCAGCCAACAGGGCACUGAUGUUCACUUCUUGCCAGCCCAGCAAGCUCCAGGUGAUGACAGGCAUCAAGAACCCAGAGCAAUGGCCAGGCGCGGUGGCUCACUCCUGUAAUCCCAGCACUUUGGGAGGCCGAGGCAGGCAGAUCACUUGAGGUCAGGAGUUUGAGACCAGCCUGGCCAACAUGGCGAAACCCCGUGUCUACUAAAAAUAUAAAAAUUAUCUGGGCGUGGUGGUGUGCGCUUGUAAUCCCAGCUACUGGAGAGGCUGAGGCAGGAAAAUCGCUUGAACCCGGGAGGUGGAGGUUGCAGUGAGGGGAGAUGGUGCCACACUGCACACCAGACUGGGUGACAGAGUGACACUCUGUCUAAAAAAAAAAAAAAAGGCUGGGCACGGUGGCUCACGCCUGUAAUCCCAGCACUUUGGGAGGCUGAGGUGGAUGGAUCACCUGAGGUCAGGAGUUCAAGACCAGCCUGGCCAACAUGGUGAAACCCCAUCUCUACUAAAAAUACAAAAAACAUUACCUGGGCGUGGUGGUGGGUGCCUGUAAUCCCAGCUACUCAAGAGGCUGAGUCAGGAGAAUCACUUGAACCCAGUAGGCGGAGGUUGCAGUGAGCCGAGAUUGCACUAUUGCACUCCAGCCUGAGCAACAAGAGCAAAACACUGUCUCAAAAAAAAAAAAAAAAAAAAAGCAGGUAUGGAUUCAUGAUACCUCCAAGGCCCCAGGAAGUACAGGAAGAAAUAAUAACUAUUGGAAAAGAUAAGUCCAGGCCGGGCACAGUGGCUCACACCUGUAAUCCCAGCACUUUGGGAGGUCGAGGCAGGUGGAUCACGAGGUCAGGAGUUCGAGACCAGCCUGGCCAAGAUGGUGAAACCCCGUCUCCACUAAAAAUACAAAAAAUUAGCCAGGCGUGGUGGCAGGCGCCUGUAAUCCCAGCCACUCAGGAGGCUGAGGUAAAGAAUUGCUUGAACCCGGGAGGCGGAGGUUGCAGUGAGCCGAGAUUGCGCCACUGCACUCCAGCCUGGACGACAGAGCAAGACUCCAUCUCAAAAAAAUAAAUAAAUAAAAGGACACACAUUUUAGACACACGUUUAUACUUACUGCUCUCAGAAACUUUUUUCCCCCAAGAUACGCUUAAGAAAUCACCAAAUUUACCAGCCUGGCCAACAUGGUGUAAAAAUACAAAAAUUAGUCAGGCGUGGUGGCGUGCGACUGUAAUCCCAGCUACUUGUGGAGCGAGGCAUGAGAAUCACUUGAACCUGGGAGGCGGAGGUUGCAGUGAGCCAAGUUCACACCACUGCACUCCAACACGGGCGACAGAGUGAGACUCUGACAAAGAAAAAAAAAAAAGGAAGGAAGGAAGGAACCACCUGAUUGGCUUGGCGUGGUGGCUCACGCCUGUAACCUCAACAUUUUGGGAAGCAGAGGUUGGCAGAUCACUUGAGGUCAGGAGUUCGAGACCAGCCUGGCCAACAUGGUAAAACCGUGUCCCUACUAAAAGUACAAAAAUUAGCCGGGUGUGGUGGCACACACCUGUAAUCCCAGCUACUUGGAAGGCUAGGCAGGAGAAUCGCUUGAACCUGGGAGGGUUUCAACUGUGGUUUUAAUUUGCAUUUGCCUAAUGUCUAAUGAUGUUGAGCAUCUUUUCAUGUACUUAUUUGCCAUUUGUGUAUCUUCUUUAGAGAAAUGUCUAUUCAAGUCCUUUGCUAAUUUUUUUUUUGUGGGAGGUGAGUAGAGACAGGGUCUCUCUAUAUUGCCCAGGCUGGUCUUGAUCUCAGCCUCAAGCAAUCCUCCCACCUUGGCCUCCCAAAGCACUGGUAUUACAAUGGUGAGCCACUGUGCCUGGCCCUUUUGCGUGAUCUUUUUUGUGGGGGGGGUUGUUUUUUGUUUUUUUGAGAUGGUGUUUCACUUUGUUGCCCACGCUGGAGUGCAGUGGCUGGAUCUCCGCUUACUGCAACCUCCGCCUCCUGGGUUCAAACGAUUCUUGUGCCUCAGCCUCCUGAGUAGCUGGGACUACAGGCACCCACCACCAAGCCUGGCUAAUUUUUGUAUUUUAGUAGAGGUGGGGUUUCACCCUAUUGGCCAGGCUGGUCUCAAACUCCUGACCUCAAGUGAUCCACCCGCCUUGGCCUUCCAAAGUGCUAGGAUUACAGGUGUGAGCCACCGCGCCAGGCUCUCCCUUGCCUAUUCUUAAUUGUCUUUUUCUUGAGUUGUACAAAAUUUUUUCUUUUUUUUGACAGAGUCUCACUUUGUUGCCCAGGCUGGAGUGCAGUGGUGCGGUCUUGGCUCACUGCAACCUCCACCUCCUGGGUUCAAGCCAUUUUCCUGCUUCAGCCUCCCGAGUAGCUGGGAUUACAGGCAUACACCACUAUGCCCGGCUAAUUUUUGUAUUUUCAGUAGAGACGAGGUUUCACACUGUUGGCCAGGCUGGUCUCGAACUCCCGACAUCAGGUGAUCUGCCUGCCUCUGCCUCCCAAAGUGCUGGGAUUACAGGCAUGAGCCACCUCGCCCGGCCAUUUAUUAUUAUUAUUGUUAUUAUUAUUAUUAUUUUUUAGAGGCAGGUCUUGCUUCUUUGCCCAGGCUGGAGUGCAGUGUGGCAAUCAUAGCUCACUGCAGACCUGAACUGCAGGGCUCAAGGGAUCCUCUUACCUCAGCCUUCUGAGUUGGUGGGAUUAUAGGCACACACCACCAUGCCUGGCUAAUUUUUACUUUUGUAGAGAUGGGGUCUCCCUAUGUUGCCCAGGCUGGUCUCAAACUCCUGGCCUCAAGUGUUCUUCCUGCUUCAGCCUCCCAAAGAGUUGGGAUUACACACGUGAGCCAUGAUGCCCAAUCGAUAUAUUUUAAUGUUCAAUUUUUUCUAGAUUAGGCCAAUGAAAACCCCUUCAAGCUGGUUUCUGUAUUCUUUUGACAUUCCACAAUUCUUCUAUGCACACAUCCUUACUUUUUGGUACAAGUAAUAGACAUCUAUGUCUAUGUAUAUUAAAAAAACACAAUCACAGCCAAUACUCCAAUUUCUAGUCCAACCCUGCAGGGUUUAUUCCAGCCUUCCCUCUUUCCAUGUGUAACAUAUUACAGUGGCAAGUCUGACUCCCUUCAUCCUUAAUGUGCUUACUCACUUCCCCAAUCCCACUCCUUCCCUCUGUCCUAGUCACACAGGUUGACUGGAACAUACUGGGCCCCCUCCUUCUGCUUUAUGGGCCAGUGGAAAGCUCAGCCCUAACAAAGGGGAAGGAGAGAAGAAGGAGAAAAAAGGAAGGAGGAAAUGACAUCUUUUUCUAUUUUUUCUAGGGAAAUUUUCUCUACUCCAAUGUUUUAAAAAUAUUCAUCUCUCCUUUUUAUUAAAUUUUAAAGUUUUGUUUUAAUAUUUACACCCUGGCCAAGUGUGGUAGCUCAUGCCUGUAAUCCCAGCACUUUGGGAGGCCAAGGUGGGUGGAUCACUUGAGGUCAGGAGUUCGAGACCAGCCUGGCCAACAUGGUGAAACCCUGUCUCUACUAAAAAAUACAAAAAUUACCCAGGUGUGGUGACUCAUGCCUGUAGUCUCAGCUUCUCAGGAGGCUGAGUCUGGAGGACUGCUUGAACCUGGGAGGCAGAGGUUGCAGUGAGCCAAGAUUGGGCCACUGCACUCCAGCCUGGGAGACAGAGUGAGAAGACUCUGUCUCAAAAUACAUAUAUAUAUACAUAUAUAUGUUUACACCCUUAUCCAUGUGUAGUUGCUGGUGUAAUAUGGUAUAAGGGAGUGAUCCAUUUUAACUUUUGUUUAUAAGGAUAGCUAAGUUUUCCAUCUCCAUUUUUGAACAAUACCUCCUUUCUCCAGUGACCUAACAAAACAUGUCUGUCAUACAUCAACGUUUCAUACAAAGCAUGGGUCUGUGUCUGGGUUACUUAAUCUGUCUUCUCCUGCCUCAGCACCUCAUGUUAUUAAGUACCAUGGCUUCCUAGUAAGUUCUGAUCCCUAGUUGGACAAGUCUUCCUUUCUGCUUUUUUUAUUCAGAAGAGUCUUGACUAUCAUUGGUGAUUACACUUCCUUAUAAGUUUUGGAAUAAUCAUAAAAGGUUCCAUGAAAAGUUCUAUUGGUCAGCACCAUAAGACAAAGUGAAGGCCGGGCAUGAUUGCUUAUGCCUGUAAUCCCAGCACUUUGGGAGGCUGAGGUGGGUGGAUCAUCUGAGGUCAGGAGUUUGAGACUAGCCUGGCCAACAUAGUGAAAACCCGUUUCUACUAAAAAUACAAAAAUUAGCCCAGAGUAGUGGCACAUGCUUGUAGUCCCAGUUACUGGGGA